AGGAUGGAAUAAUAACUCUUAAGAGUGUUCUGCUCUAUCUCCAAGAGUUCCCCAGAAAGACAGAGCCCCAGUCGCUUAUCAUGGAACCCCAAGGAGCAUGAGGACAUCCUGAACAGAGGCCACCUCAGGGGAGCUGAAGGAGCAGGAGAGCAGCCCUGGUACACCCUGCCCAGGCUCACCUCCUCCCGCAGAACUAAGCCAGGGCUGAAAAGUUCCUUGAAAGAGGCUGCUCUUUGGAAGCCUUGCAUAUUUCUGAAGGCUGCCAAGAGAGUGUGCGGCUGAAACCAGAGUGAGGACCCAUGCUUCCUUGAGGUGGAGCCCAGGCACUUGGGCAAACAGCUGAUAGGAGUUCAUUUUGUGAAGCUGUGACGAGUUUUCCAGUAGACCAUGAGCUUGCUGAUGGCAGGAGCCUGCCUGUCCUUGAUCCUUGUUUCUGUGGGGUCUGUCCCAGUGCCUGGCACAGUGGCUUUGGAGAUGGAAGGAAUAGAGGGAGAGCAGAUCCUCAAACACAGCCUGCAUCUCUCCCUGCUCCCCUCCCACCCUCCAGUUUUCCAGCCAGAGGCAUUUGCUCUAAGGCCCAGGCUGUGGCCCACCUAUCACCGCUACCCAAGUAGUACAGGAAGAGGAAAUUUGAAGAGGAAAAGAGGCACCAGGGAUGAGGACACACUGAGAAAAGACCAUGUGAAGACAUGGCAAGAAGACAGCCAGCUGCAAGCCAAGGAGUGAGGCCUCAGAAGAAACCAACCCUGCCGACACCUUGGCCUUGGACUUCUAGUCUCCAGAAUUAUGCGAAAAUAAAUUUCUGUUGUUUAAGCCA